GCGCAGAUCAGCUGCCAGUGCCUAUUAUAAUGGUCCGCUGGAACCUGGCUCUAGAUACAGCAUUUUUCAAAGGGUUAUACUUAAUGAACAGAAUGAUUUUUACUCCACAGACUGGAGUCCAGCUUCAAGCACCACCGACUACACAGGUAGUCCUCAUGUGCUGACAAACAUGUCCAGUGGUAACGUAAUAGCAAAGGAAGGUGAUCUUGUCAACCUGCUGUGUUCAGCUCAAGGUGAACCACCAAUUACAUUCAGCUGGGAAAAAGAUCAGACGCCGCUUGGUGGGUUCAUUGUAAAGGACAUGCCUCAUCGUAGUUCUUUGCUUGUUGUAACAGUGAA